ensembl:lncRNA
CCCGCAACCCAGGCCCCGCCCCUCCCCCCACUUCCUGCCCCGCGCCGCCCGCCAAAAUUGGGGGGCGGGGCUGCGGGGCGAACCGGCGGGGACUCCGGGCUCUCUCCCGAGAGCUAGCAGACUCAGGGCGCUCUUCGUCGCCAGGCCCAGUCACUGUUCCUGCGCUCCCCACUCACACGGGCCGCCGGACCUCAGGGGAGGCCCUGUCGAGCGGGGCUCCCUCGCGCGGCCCUCCCGGAAGGACAGACCGGAGGGCGCACCCGGCCGGGCCCAUCCAGCUGCCUGGCCGGGUAACUCGAGACCCGCGACACGUGGCCCAGGUCCCCCCAGAGCCCCCUUCCGGUCCUCCGCGCUCCCCAGAGCAAGCAGGACCCCCGGCCGGAUUCCCUGGUCUCAGUGGGCAGAGCUGGGUCAGAGGCAGAAUUUGUCAUCUGAGUAAGGGGGAGAGGGACAGGGACCCCACUGCCGUCGGAGAAGAACAGAGACUGUCCUGGCCGGUGGGCGACAGCGUUGACAGGCGCAUGCCACCCCGGGAGGGGCUGCACGGGACGUAGAACAGCAGCUCCUGUAACCGGCACUUCGCGACCUGGGUUCCGUCCAGGCGCUGGGUUCUCCGCGCGGUCUCGCCAGGUCCCAGCCCUUCCCGCAGGGCGCUCCGCUUCGGGAGAGUGAGCAGGCGGUACCCCGGGCCUCCCAGAGGGGCGCGCGUCCUGGGGUGGCCUCUGCACUGAGGCGGAAGGAGGGGCCGUCCGGGCGUGGGCAGUGGAGGGGUCCGGCAGGGGCUGGCCAGGUUGAGUGGACCCCUCACAGGUGCAGCGAGAAGAUGGGGCCGUGGGCGACCCCCACCGCAAGUAUCUCCGGUGAAUCUGAGGGGCCAAGGGCAAGGCGAGCUCCAGCCCCAGCUGAGCCUCCGCAGGCACCCGGGACAACACCCGUCCCACCUCCCACCGGAGGCCGGGGCUGGCCUGGCCUGGUCCGGCCCCGCCCCGGGGAAGCCCCUCAGCUGUGUCUCUCCAGCGCCCCAGCCCCGUUGCCGUUGGCCUUCCGGACCCCGGUGUCAGCGCAGGCGCUGCUCUGCUGCCCCCUGGUGGAUCUGAGGGUCGAGAGGCCCAGGCUUGAGGGGCUGCCCUGGGUCUUGAGGUAGAAUAGAAGAAACACAGGAAACUCAAAAAGAAAUUCCUACGUGUUUUAAAGACACAAUAAGCCUGUAAAUUGGGCUCUGAGCCUGUGCUUUUUGCCUGUAAAUUACACUUUCUCCCCCAGGCCUCCACCACAAGGAAGCAGCGAUUCUCAACUUCAGACCAAGGCGCAGGUUUGCAUUGUGAUGCAGCUGCUGGAUGGGCAACCUGACAGCAGGACACGCAUCCUGCAUCGCCCAUCCUGGGGACACCCCAAGCCCAGCUCCUAGUCAUAACACUCCUCCCUGUCUCCCCCCCCCCCUCAGGUCCCCACUCUGUUUCACUGAGCACAUACUUUAAAUUUCUGCCUAAUAAAUCUCUUUAUGUCUUA